CCUACGGGUGGCAGCAGUGGGGAAUAUUGGGCAAUGGGCGCAAGCCUGACCCAGCAACGCCGCGUGAAGGAAGAAGGCUUUCGGGUUGUAAACUUCUUUUCUCAGGGACGAAACAAGUGACGGUACCUGAGGAAUAAGCCACGGCUAACUACGUGCCAGCAGCCGCGGUAAUACGUAGGUGGCAAGCGUUAUCCGUAAUUACUGGGGGUAAAGGGCGUGUAGGCGGGACGGCAAGUCAGAGGUGAAAACCACGGGCUCAACCUGUGGCCUGCAUUUGAAACUGUAGUUCUUGAGUACUGGAGAGGCAGACGGAAUUCCUAGUGUAGCGGUGAAAGGCGUAGAUAUGAGGAGGAACACCAGUGGCGAAGGCGGUCUGCUGGACAGCAACUGACGCUGAGGCGCGAAAGCGUGGGGAGCAAACAGGAUUAGAUACCCUUGUAGUC
rnacentral:rRNA from 1 species